rnacentral:tRNA from 1 species
GUUGUGGCUCAGUAGUAGAGUGCUUGCCUAGCAUGUAUGAGGCACUGGGUUCAAUUCUCAGCACUACA